AGGAAUCUUAGGGGGUGGUUUUCUUUUUCUUUCUCUUUUUCUUUUCUUUUUUCUACAGAGAGUAAUGUGGAAGCAUGAAGUUGGUCAUGAAACACUGAUCAAAGCCAUCUUUCAUCAGGCCCAAGUAAAUACAUGCACAGUGUUGUUCUCAAUGCUUGUGUAGUAAACCCACACAGUAACCCACAAAGGCCUCUAUCACCUUUCUGAACCCAUCUACAAUGGACGAAGGGAUUCAUUGACUAAAGACCCUGAAAUAAAGAAAGAUACACAGUUACCAAGAGACCAACAUAAUUUUACAUUUCUCCUGACCCUACUGAUCCGUGAAAUUAUAACUGUGAAACAGAUCUCCUCUAAAGUGAAAUAUAUAUGAGAUAUAUAUGUGUAUACACACACAAACGUACACAUAUGAUCCUUCCAAUCCUUUGGGAUUUUAAAUGGCGUCUUCAAGAAAACAACACAUAAGAGUGAAAUCUACAGAUGCUCAGAGAAACAGCCUCUCUCUCUCUCUCUCUCUCUCUCUCUCUCUCUCUCUCUCUCUCUCCUAACUCUGGGGUGGGGGUGGGGCAGCAGAAGCAUCAGCAGUCAGGGGUGGCUUUUUUUGGAGCAAAGGCAUUAGACAAGAUGACACGCUGACAGGUUCAGAAAACAGAGGAUGUCGUGCCAAUCAGCAGAUAAUUUCUAUGUGUUUGCAGCGUAGGAAGAAGUGUGAGUCACGCAGUAUUUCAAAGGCAGGUCACAAUUGCUGUUUGUCAUCUUGCAAUGUGAAGGUCAAGAGACAGGAGAAGGUGGGUGGACGCCGAGAGGAGACCUGCUUGCAAUCAGAUCAACCAUAGCCAGACAGGCCCUGCUUCAUGGCUCUGACAGUGCCCAGGGAGCCUGUGUAAUUACUGCCGGAACUGACAUCUGAGGCUCUCACCUCCAGCAGCCGCAAGGGAAAGAUAUUACACAAUCGAGCUUUCUCAAAUUCGGAGAGAACUUGCAUACCAACUAGCUUCCCUCCAAAACCGGUUUCAUGGAGCACCGAUGAGUCAAGAGCGCCACCUGGUGUCCUACCUUGGGAUCUUAAAGAGCAUUUUCACAGGAUGCAUUUCAAAGAGGGGAGGGUCUCCAUCGCCCAGCUCAAUGGCUGUGAUGCCCAAGGACCAGACGUCACAACGAGCGUCAUAGGAUGAGUCAUACUGCUGCUCACAAGCAAUGACCUAUCAGACAAAAACAAGACAAACACAUCAGGCCACUCUCACCCCAGAUGCCUUGAAAACCUUGUUGUUCCAUUGACCAAGCAAAUGUUGAAUGAAUGGGAGCAAUGAGAUGUUUGUAGGCUAGAUAGACUUUGUCUGUGCAUAACUGAUUCAUCAUCUGA